UGACAAAAUCAUGCAUUUUAAAUAGAGUUGGGUCGUCUGGGGAGUCGCAUAAUAUGACGUUUACCAUAAUUGAUCCAGUAAACAGCCUUCAGAUUUGUACACAGAAGUGUUAAAAAUCCAUGCAUUUUAGUUUUAUCUUGUUACGGUUGAUGUUCAAACCUUGUUUGCUCAUGUAACUGUCAGCUGUAAUAAAUUAUAUCCUCAUUAAAAUACGAUACAUAAUAAAAGUAGAUUUGAUAUAGUAUAUUUGCCCUGUGUUAAUAACAAUAUAUAGGAACUUUAUUUGAAACAAAUAAGGGGUGAUAAAUAAAUAUCAAUACAACAGGAUUAAAAAUAGACAUAUAUUCAUUUUAAUAUCCUAUAUAUAUUUUGAAUGUUUUGAAACUUGACACCAGGCGAUGCAUCCUGAAAACUGCACCGUUAGAUCGGUUUCAUGCUGAAGAGCCACUUAAAAGUAAACAUUUUUUUCUCUCUCUCUCGUAAAUGUAAAUGAGUGUAAAUGUCAAUAUCAUAGUGUAUGUCGAAAGGAUUGAAGUCUGUCAAUCCAAACAUGAGGGUAUGUGGUUAUGGUUAUGUUUAGGGUAGGUAGGGUAGUGUAUGUUAGGGUUAGGGUAUGUAGGGUACGGUAGGGUAGGGAAGGGUUAGGCUUAGGUUUGUGCAGGGGGGAACGCAUUCUGACAGCGGAGAAUGUUACCGUCAGAUACUGGUCCCCCCCAUACAGAUCUGUUGGUGGGAAACAGAUCCCGACAGGGAAACAGAGUUCGACACAACAACGGCACGACACACCUCGAUAACGCUGGUCAUGACAUCCUCUGUCUUGUUCUCAGACAGCCCAUAAAGCCUUAAAUCCACCUCCUUCCGUAAUGCUCUGCUUCGGACAACCUCUAUUCCAAAUUUGCAAUCUUCUGUUCACAAGUCUCAUAUUUCUAUCUGCGCACGUCUAUUUCAAUACGAAAGCCACCUACUUCGUUGUAUAUGUAGUCCACUUUCUCCCUUAGAUCUUCGACAAGGAUUGCUUUCUCAGAAACUUUGGAUUCGAUUCUGUCAGACCUUUCGUUAAUUAAGUUAUACAAGUCCAUCAGAAAAAGCUUUUAUUUUUCUUACUCUCAGGACUACUCGUUCCAUAUUUCUUAUUCUUGUCACUGUUUGCAACCUUUGCGUAGGAAUGUACUUCGCUUUGAGAUCGUUUUUCUCCUUUUCCAGCCAUGGCUUCCAGUACCUGACAGUAGAGUUCAGUCAGAACAACUCUUAAGGGCAGUCCAGCUCUAUAAGGGAGUGCUCCAACUCUUCCAGUCACCAAUCACACCAUGGAAGUGAUAGAAGAUGCUCCACUUCUCGUUUUCAUUCACCAUUGGGUUAAUCUCCUGGCUGUUACUACUCAAGACAUGCUCAGAGAAUAUUUUGAAGUGUUUAUUUUAUUUAUUUUUUUUUAUUGUACAUACAAUAACAUGCCCCUGAACGGUCUGGUGGAUGUAUCUGACAUGUGUCAAAUGAUUUAUUAGUACUUUUUUGUCAUUUGUCUUAUUCUGAGAGUAUUUAUAUAUAUGAUAUAAUAAAUUCAUGGUUGAAAUUA